rnacentral:lncRNA from 1 species
UUGAGAAGAUUCUCUGGAGGUAUCUGGUGAGGAAAGACUGAGGGCAGGUAGGGAUUGUGAGGCUAUGACCUUGGUAGAGGUGACAGGAGCUGAGGCUCUUUCCCCGGCAGCUGUGGUGAAGGGAGAUGGGCAGGAGGAGCAGAGGGAGGAGGCGUGGCCCUGGGCACCUGGAGCCAUCUGAGUGGAGAUGGGGUGGGCAGUCUUGGAAGUGCAGGGUCACCUCUUCACACACAUUCAUGGAAAGCUGUAGAAAUGUGUAGACCUGGGUGUCCAGAGAACUGAGGAUCUGCGGUCCCAGGGGAUAGGGUGUCACUGGGGCAAAGAGCAAGAGAGCCCUUCUGAGCCAGAGAAGUGCCUCCCCUGUGGAAUAGGGGUCCCCAGUCUCAUAAAACAAGCAACCAUCAGCAAAGUUGUUUUCUAGGAAGAAGAAAAGGCCACUGGGCCGACGGUCAGCCUUGCUUGGAAGACGGAAGACAAGUCCAGCCCACUCAGACCCUGGGAAAGGUUAUCCAGCGGGGUCACGCUCCACGUGUUGUUCUGCCACUGCCUCUGGUUUCUCGACACUGCCUCGUGGACACUCAGGGAGAGCUUGCAGCUGGUGACGAACUCUCCAGGAGGUUCACAUGCCAUUUAGAAAGUGGGUUCAGUGCCUGGGGACUAAUCAAUGAUGAGAUUUUCCCACCUCAGCCUGACAGGAAUGACACACAGCUGAGAAGAUGGCAGUGGUGCUUUUCCUUUAGGGGAAGAAAGGAGGGCCCCCGGAAGCCUUCUCUCCUAUCUGAUUCAUGCUCAUUCAUAAUGCAGCAGGCUUGGGAGCUGCAAAUAACAUGCUAGUGCAAGAAGGCAAGCCAGUCAGGCAGUCUCAUAUAUCACUGCUCCAUCUGUCACACUGACACAAGGAUUCACGCUAUGGAGGCCGGUGGCUCUUCACAGGGAGUUGAGAUGGCAAGAAGCAGAGGCAUCUUGGAGGAGAUGCACAUUUUAGGGUUUGAUGAAAGUUGAGUGAAAUAAUGCUC